rnacentral:lncRNA from 1 species
GUCUAAAAGCAUCUGUUUAUGGCUUCCACCAUCCGCUCAGACUAAUUUACAGUGUUCAAAUGUGGCACAUCCUCCAGAGGAGACUAAAAACAAAGCAGCUAUAGAGAGUGAUGAUGAUGCUAAUAUUCAUCACACAUGCAUCCAGACUCCAGCUUGUCAGAUUCCCUUUUGUGUUGAUAUUAAUUCACCUCCGUCAGAUAUCCAGUUUCUCCAGCCGGCUCUAUCCGCCGAGGGUCUUUCCGGAGGGCCCUUUAGGUAUUUCCUGGGAGCCCGGGAGCUGCUGGAGGAACGGCUGAUGCUGGAUUUGUUGGAAGAUCUGGAUUUCUUUCUUCUGCUGCUUCUGAAAGCACAGGGUGAAGAUCCAGUCUGUGCACUAAGACAGACAGCAGCUCGGCGGAUCACAGAGACGUACCUGAAGGAAAACAAGCCACGCUUUAUUAGACAUCUGGAUGCAGAGAUUAGACAAAAUCUGUCCUCGCUUCUGCCCUCCAGUGCAGCUCUGCCGUGGAUUUACAAGGCCAAAUAUCACUUAUGCAAGGAGCUCCGGGAGGUUUAUAACUCAUUUUUAGAUGCAGAUGAUGAAGCUCUGCUGUCUCUGCUGAGUUCAGACGGCAAUGGGCUUGAAGACUCUGUGCCGCUGCUGUUUUCUAGUUUCGGGACUGAAACAGAUGC